CAUUCAAAAUGGCGCACAAAGAAGGGGUGUGGGAAGGCUUCUGCGUGGGAGAAAAUUCAUGAGAACUCAUUUCUCGUGAAUUCAAAUGGGCGCAGGUGAAGUGAGGUGGCGCAGGAAGAUAAGUCAAGGCGGUUUGAAAUUUUAAAGCAAUCUAAUUGAACCAACCAUAUUAAAAUAGGUUAGACACAAUUAGACUAAAUUAAAU
rnacentral:lncRNA from 1 species